GUAACCAUUCCCCCUACGAGCUGAACGCAUGCGCACAAAACGCCUCUCUGGUGCUGUUAAGUAGAACUUCCGGUUCUAAGCUUAUUCACUCUCUAAUCUAUCAGCUAUCGUGUCCGGUUCCGCUAUGGACGCGGCUCCGCUGCUCGUCUACGGCGGAAUCGAGCCCCGGUGGUUCACUUUACCUAUGCGCUAUGCGUCACCGACCAGAAUUACUGUUCGGAAACGAACCAACCGUGUUUUCGCCGUUGCCACCGAGCCGAAACCUUCUCAAACCGGACCCGAUAAAUCAUCGUCACCACAAAAUCUCAAUGGCUCAUCGAGGUCGCCUCCUUCCAAAACUGUUAAUGGAGUUUCCUCAAGAUCUUCGCCGUUGAAACCAGUCAACGGAGCUUCCACAAGGAUCGGUGAAGUUUCACAGGAGAUCAAAAGAGUGAGGGCGCAAAUGGAGGAAAACGAGCAGUUGGCGAUACUAAUGAGAGGACUUCGAGGCCAAAAUUUGAGAGAUGC
rnacentral:misc_RNA from 1 species